AGGCCUCGAACACCCAGAGUCACAUCAGGACAGCACAGCAAAUCCCACACUACACAUUACGUCUGUAAAUGUAAUUUACCAGCCUUCAGAUGCUUUGAUGAAUGAACAACAGAAACAGCGAAACACAGGAAAAUGAGAAUGCAUAUCACCUGUACUCCACAAUCCCUGAAAACCAGUUCACUCAAACACAGAAGAUUAAGCCUACAGUUUGGUGAAGGU